rnacentral:rRNA from 1 species
UGGAGCAAUCCAUGAGUAGAGUGGCAAACGGGUGAGUAACACGUGGGUGACCUGCCUUCGAGCGGGGGAUAACGUCCCGAAAGGGACGCUAAUACCGCAUAACAUCCUGCCUUUUAAGAGGUGGAGAUCAAAGCCGGGGAUCGCAAGACCUGGCACUUGAAGAGGGGCCCGCGCCUGAUUAGCUAGUUGGUGGGGUAAUGGCUCACCAAGGCAACGAUCAGUAUCCGGCCUGAGAGGGCGGACGGACACACUGGGACUGAGACACGGCCCAGACUCCUACGGGAGGCAGCAGUGGGGAAUUGUUCGCAAUGGGCGCAAGCCUGACGACGCAACGCCGCGUGGAGGAUGAAGACCUUCGGGUCGUAAACUCCUUUCGAUCGAGACGAAUGGUUUCCGGGUGAACAAUCCGGAGAAAUGACGGUACCGAGAGAAGAAGCCCCGGCUAACUCCGUGCCAGCAGCCGCGGUAAUACGGGGGGGGCAAGCGUUGUUCGGAAUUACUGGGCGUAAAGGGCUCGUAGGUGGCCAACUAAGUCAGACGUGAAAUCCCUCAGCUUAACUGGGGAACUGCGUCUGAUACUGGAUGGCUUGAGUUUGGGAGAGGGAUGCGGAAUUCCAGGUGUAGCGGUGAAAUGCGUAGAUAUCUGGAGGAACACCGGUGGCGAAGGCGGCAUCCUGGACCAAUACUGACACUGAGGAGCGAAAGCCAGGGGAGCAAACGGGAUUAGAUACCCCGGUAGUCCUGGCCCUAAACGAUGAAUGCUUGGUGUGGCGGGUAUCGAUCCCUGCCGUGCCGAAGCUAACGCAUUAAGCA